rnacentral:tRNA from 2 species
AGGCCGUUAGCUCAGGCGGAAGAGCACUGGCCUUUUAAGCCAGGGGUCGCGGGUUCGAAUCCCGCACGGCCUA